GUACUUGCUAUAGCAGCACAUAUACUAAAAUUGGAACAAUACAGAGUAAAUUAGCAUGGCCCCUGAAAAGGAUGACAUGCAAAUUCAUGAAGCACUCUGUAUUUUA